UACGUAGGGGGCAAGCGUUGUCCGGAUUUAUUGGGCGUAAAGAGCGUGUAGGCGGCUUUGCAAGUCCGUUGUGAAAACUCGAGGCUCAACCUCGAGACGCCGGUGGAAACCAUCUAGCUAGAGUCCGGAAGAGGAGAGUGGAAUUCCUGGUGUAGCGGUGAAAUGCGCAGAUAUCAGGAGGAACACCUAUUGCGAAGGCAGCUCGCUGGGACGUAACUGACGCUGAGACGCGAAAGCGUGGGGAGCAAACAGG
rnacentral:rRNA from 1 species